rnacentral:snoRNA from 1 species
GCCCUCCUGAUUGAUGCUUACCACAGGUUCUGUUCUUACUCUGACCAUAUAGAAAAAGGGGAGGCAGAGUAAGCCUAUCCCAUGUCAGCCUCAGUCCGGGCCCUGCGCCUGGUGGGUGUUAUGUGAAUGGGAAAACAUGG